CUCACACAAUCACUGGCACUCACCCUUCCCCUCGACGUCUCCGCGCCUCGGAAGUCACGCCAGGCCUCUUUUCUUUCCUCCCUUUCCCGCAUCCUCCUCCUGCUCCUCCUCGUCGUCCCCUGGCUGGCCCAGGUUUGGGGUCUCGCUGUCUUCUUCCGCCAAGACGAGAUCCCCCCCCCCGCAUUGAUUGCAGAAUUCUGACGCAUAUUCACGAAGUCGGAGUUGGAAUCUGCACACUCGGUUCUUUUUCUUCAACCUUUGGCCGAUGCAGAGUUCUGGGUUUUGUGUGUGUCAGUGGUGCCAUUAGGUCCAGCAUUGCGUGGCGUGGUCCAUGUAAUGACGAUGGUUCGGGGAGCUUUGGUGGCUGCUGCUGCUGCAGCCAGCCAGGGAUUGUGGAUCGACAAGGUUGGGGGCAAUGGUGGAUUGAGAGCAUGGCGAGGAGGGGCGGUUUUAAGAGGCGAUGGCAGGGAGGUUUCGAAGCGGGUGACUGUGAUCCGGAAAGGGAAGGAGAGGGGCGGGGUGGUUGUGAUGAUCGCGGAGCGGCAGUUGGAGAGAGGGGGAAACAUGAGCUCGACAGGUGCAUCGGCGUCGGUUCUGGAAGAGAGAUUUGUGGUUGAUGAGCCUAAUCGGAAUGUGGACAACUUUAGGGAGAACUUUCAGCAGGAACCAUGCUUGGCGCCAUUGAAAUCAGGGAGGCUUAUUAACAAUCUGCUAUACAGAGAGAAGUUCGUGAUUCGGUGUUACGAGGUUGGGACAAAUCGCACUGCUUCUAUGGAGACGAUGGCCAAUCUCUUGCAGGAAGUGGCAUGCAAUCAUGCGCAGAGCGUGGGAUUUUCAACAGACGGAUUUGCCACUACUCCUAUUAUGAGACAGAAGCACCUCAUUUGGGUUACUACGCGCAUGCACAUUCAAAUGAAGGAGUACCCUGUCUGGGGUGAUAUUGUUGAAAUCGACACGUGGUAUCAAGGAGAAGGUCGGAUUGAAACUCGUCGGGAUUGGAUCAUAAGGAGUGACAAAACGGGCGAAGUGAUAGGAAGGGCUACAAGCACAUGGGUAAUGAUGAACAUGGACACUAGGAGAUUGUCAAGAAUUCCUGAUGAUGUGAGGCAAGAGUACAUGCCUUACGUGCCGAUUCCACCAAGAUGGGCGUUUGAUCCGAAGGAAGAGAAUAACAGCAGCACCAAGAAAAUCGGGAGACCGGAUAUAGCCCAGUUUGGGCGCUCCAAUUUAAUGAUCCAGCAUUAAUUUUUUGUCGUUCCUCGCGGCAGCCAAGAAGGAACGACUUGGACAUGAAUGAACAUGUGAAUAAUGUUACUUACGUAUGUUGGAUGCUUGAGGCGAUCCCACCAGAAGUUUCGAACAAUUAUGAAUUAACACAGAUCACACUGGACUACAAGUGUGAAUGCAAGGCAGAUAAUGUCGUUGAAUCCCUAGCGACACCUGAAAACACAGAGACCGCUGAAGCCGUGUCCUUGCUUUUGGAACCCAAGUACGCAACUGUCGCUAGUCACGGAACAUAUCCAUCGGCUGGGAGCAAUGGCAAGUAUUCGGCGGCGCCCAAGCAUUCCACUCUGCUUUUCUUGCACGUUUUAAGGUUAACAAAAGUAGGGAGAGAAAUUAAUCGUGGUAGGACAGAAUGGAGAAUUAAGCAUAGCCCACAAGAAAGCUAGUGAAACAUCUACAAAGAAGCGGGAGGUCGGCACAUGUAUUGUAUAUCUGUACAUAUUGUCUAGUCAAUCUGGAGAGAGCAGUUUUACCUGCAACCCAAAAUUUUCCUGGUCGGGCCAAUCGGUGAGUAGUGAGGGUCAAAACCGAGCAGAACGCCUUGCCUGAACAAUACAUCUCUACUGCAGCGAAAGAAGUGUAUUCGAAGUUGGUCUCAUGUGGGAACAGUUUUUCUACAUACCUUCGUGCGUUCCUAUGUUUUAAUACAAUCUACUCAUCUAAUAUCCCAAUUGUGACUACCUGAACCUUUCACGCA